rnacentral:rRNA from 1 species
AGUGAACGCUGGCGGUAGGCCUAACACAUGCAAGUCGAACGGCAGCACAGUAAGAGCUUGCUCUUACGGGUGGCGAGUGGCGGACGGGUGAGGAAUACAUCGGAAUCUACUUUUUCGUGGGGGAUAACGUAGGGAAACUUACGCUAAUACCGCAUACGACCUACGGGUGAAAGCAGGGGAUCUUCGGACCUUGCGCGAUUGAAUGAGCCGAUGUCGGAUUAGCUAGUUGGCGGGGUAAAGGCCCACCAAGGCGACGAUCCGUAGCUGGUCUGAGAGGAUGAUCAGCCACACUGGAACUGAGACACGGUCCAGACUCCUACGGGAGGCAGCAGUGGGGAAUAUUGGACAAUGGGCGCAAGCCUGAUCCAGCCAUACUGCGUGGGUGAAGAAGGCCGUCGGGUUGUAAAGCCCUUUUGUUGGGAAAGAAAAGCAGCAGGUUAAUACCCCGCUGUUCUGACGGUACCCAAAGAAUAAGCACCGGCUAACUUCGUG